CAGAUGCUAAUACCGGGAUAACAACAGAUGAUGCCCUAUCAACUGUUUUAAGAGAUGGUUCUGCUAUCACUCUUGGGAUGGGACCCUGCGGUGCAUUAGCUAGUUGGUAGGGUAACGGCCUACCAAGGCGAUGAUGCAUAGCCGAGUUGAGAGACUGAUCGGCCACAUUGGGACUGAGACACGGCCCAAACUCCUACGGGAGGCAGCAGUAGGGAAUCUUCCACAAUGGACGCAAGUCUGAUGGAGCAACGCCGCGUGAGUGAAGAAGGGUUUCGGCUCGUAAAGCUCUGUUGUUGGUGAAGAAGGACGAGGGGUAGUAACUGUACCUUUGUUUGACGGUAAUCAAUUAGAAAGUCACGGCUAACUACGUGCCAGCAGCCGCGGUAAU
rnacentral:rRNA from 1 species